rnacentral:rRNA from 1 species
AAUAGAUACCCCGGUAGUCCAUGCUGUAAACGAUGAGAACUAGAUGUUAGGGGGCAUGACCUCUUAGUAUCGAAGCUAACGCGAUAAGUUCUCCGCCUGGGGAGUACGGCCGCAAGGUUAAAACUCAAAGAAAUUGACGGGGGCCCGCACAAGCGGUGGAGCAUGUGGUUUAAUUCGAUGCAACGCGAAGAACCUUACCUACCUUUGAAUCCACGGAACCUAGCAGAGAUGUUGGGGUGCCUUCGGGAACCGUGAGACAGGUGCUGCAUGGCUGUCGUCAGCUCGUGUCGUGAGAUGUUGGGUUAAGUCCCGUAACGAGCGCAACCCUUGUCCUUAGUUGCCAUCAGGUUAUGCUGGGCACUUUAAGGAGACUGCCGGUGAUAAACCGGAGGAAGGUGGGGAUGACGUCAAGUCCUCAUGGCCCUUACAGGUAGGGCUACACACGUGCUACAAUGGGCAGUACAGAGGGAAGCCAACCCGGCGAGGGGGAGCGAAUCUCAUAAAGCUGUUCGUAGUCCGGAUUGGAGUCUGCAACUCGACU